rnacentral:lncRNA from 1 species
AUCAUAACAAAUUUCUAAAACAUAUAAAUUUCAAAUGAUAAUUAAUUGUUGAAGGACAUACACUCAAGUUUCUCUGUCUUAGAGAAAAUAUAUAUGUUAAAUUUAUUUUUAAAGAGAUAAAAACAAGGAUCAUUGACUUUGGGAGGAUAAAUAAUUUUAUAUAAAUCUUAUUAUCUACAAUACGCCUCCAUAGGGGGGGCGAAGCCAGACAAAUCGUUUAAAUAAUAAAAAUUAAUAUGUUAGGUUGAGAACCAUUCCCCUUUCCCUUCUUAUUCCUCAGUCCAAAAUCAUGACACACUCAUCCACAGUUAUCAAGAGUUUUUUAAAAAAUAUGCAGCUACUAAGAGUACCUUGAUUAGGUGAGCCAGGCAGGAAGGAAGUAGCAUUAAAAGCCUCUCAUAAUCUAUCCAAGCCACACCUCAGCAAUGUCAUACUGGUUGUAUCAGUCUGAUAUUUUGGGUACGAAAAGCAGGAUAAAGGACACUGGAAAUUAGUUUGGCUGUGGUUGUGAUGCAAGGCAGGAAUAUGACCUUGGAUUCAUUCCUUGGCAAAGGUGAUAGAUCGGAGAUGACAGAGAAGAAGAAACAAAGCAGGUGAUGGACUUAUGCCAAAUGCUGAGUCAUGAUGCACGCCCUCAUGCCAAAUGUUGCCAACCCCCAGAAGAUAUAUAUUAUUGAGAUAUUGCUCACUUGUUUCACCUCAGGUAAGGUAAGGUAAAGCUCACAACUUUUCUCGUACUUUCUGGAGAUGAUCGUUUGUAUUUCAUCUCUCCUUAACCUUUCAUUAAUUGAUGAACUUAAAAUAUAAAGGGAAAAAAAAAACCAUUUUGAGUUUUUUUUUUUUGUUAGGAUCUUAAACUGGAUAUUUUAAACCAUUUUUUUCUUUUUCAUCACUUUUGCACCAAUGCCGAUAAUUUGCCAAAUCCUACCUUGAAUGAGUAAACCUCACUGUGGAAAUAGAUAGUUGUCUUAGAAAUGCUUUCACCGAGACAAAGCUAGUGACACAUUUGAUUAUUUAAUUGAUGCCAAACAUUGGAUUGGUUGGUAUCUUGCUCGCAUCUCAGAGACUAUACUAUAUCCUCAGUAUACACAAGUUCUCGAAUCUCGACGCUCACACAUUGACCACAGAUACGACGUGAAAAAGGGGCAAAGGUACCGCUGUCAGAAAUUAAUAUAUUAUCAAAAUCCAUAUUUUGAUCAAUGGUGUAAAGUUGGGCUACUGGUACAACCUUUAACAUUUUUACCUUUAAAAAAACUCGCAACCAUUUUAACCUUUAACGGAUCAUGUGGUACAAAGAAUACGUUUCAUGAGCUAACUCCAAAUAUAACCGGAAAAUUAAUAAAAGCAACAAGGAACUAAAUAAAUACUUCGAAGACAUUAUAAGGUUAAUUUAUACGAAGAGAUGCUGAUGAAUAAAGACAUGCGCAAACCAAAAAUAACGGAGUGCUGUUGCAGAGUUCGCACAUGCGUACCUUGCGGGUGAGGGAGACAUCGGGCUUGGGGAACUCCGUGAGGCACGUGUGUGGGGAGGUCCAAGCUACCACCGGGAGGCAUUUGUUGCACCUCGGCAUCGACUUCCGAUCGUAGGAGAGCGAGUCAACCCGGAGCGAGUUGAAGAGCGGCGCGCCCGGCGUGCCUGGCGUCGCAGGGGCCGACGCGGUCGGCGUCUCCGGCUCCGGCAUUGUCUACUGGCAAACUACCUGUAAUUUUUUUGGCUUUUUUUGAAGGGGGAUGCGUUUUUUUUUUUCCGGGGGGGGGGGGGGGGGGGCUGAGAGCGAUGAUUAAGAAGGGAAAAAGUUACAUGAUUUGAUGGUUUUUAUGAAGCUUUUGCUAUAGGAAUGGUAGAACCCCAGCCAGGAUUUGAUACAACAGAUGGAGUUUUACUCAGAGAUCAUAGAUAAGAAAAACUACUAAUGUUUCUUUUUUGUGAUUUUUUUUGGAUUGUGUUAUGAAAAGACACAGACAAAUAUUACAUGAUCUGAAGGUUUUUAUAAAUGCUUCUCUAAGGAAGAAGGAGAAGAAAGCAAGCCAGCUUAACACAAACUAGAAAUGAUGAAGAGAUUGGCUCAGCUGAUUCGUUACGGGGCUUUGUGAGGAAGAUCGGAUAGAAGUCUAAAAGUUCGAUGAUUAGGAAGAAGGCUAUUCGGUGUUCAUCAGGAAAUUAACCAAGAUCCACAAGAUGAAGGACUCAGAAGAAAACCAAGAUCAUUAGGGAGAAAGCUGCAUUCAGGGUGCUUCGAUGGUGAUGGUGGUGAAGGCUGGGAAAACACUUGGGGGAGAGAGAGAGAGAGAGAGAGAGAGAGAGAGAGAGAGAGAGGAGGA